CCAGGACUUACUGGGUGUAAGGGAGCGCAGGCGGGACUGCAAGUCAGUGGUGAAAUAACAUGGGCUUACUCAUGAAUUGCCAUUGAAACUGCGAUCUUGAGUGGAUCAGAGGCAAGCGGAACUCCGAGUGUAGCGUGAAAUGCGUAGAUAGUCGUAGGAACACCAGUGGCGAAGGCGGCUUGCUGGGGUCUAACUGACGCUGAGGCUCGAAAGUGUGGGGAGCAAACACGAUUAGAUAUCCUGGUAGUCCACACUGUAAACGAUGAUUACUAGGUGUGGGGCGUCUGACCCCCUCCGUGCCGGAGUUAACGCAAUAAGUAAUCCACCUGGGGAGUACGGCCGCAAGGUUGAAACUCAAAGGAAUUGACGGGGGCCCGCACACGCAGUGGAUUAUGUGGUUUAAUUCGAAGCAACGCGAAGAACCUUACCAGGUCUUGACAUCCGACUAACGAGGCAGAGAUGCGUCAGGUGCCCUUCGGGGAAAGUCGAGACAGGUGGUGCAUGGUUGUCGUCAGCUCGUGUCGUGAGAUGUUGGGUUAAGUCCCGCAACGAGCGCAACCCUUGCCAUUAGUUGCUACGCAAGAGCACUCUAAUGGGACCGCUACCGACAAGGUGGAGGAAGGUGGGGACGACGUCAAAUCAUCAUGCCCCUUAUGUCCUGGGCUACACACGUAAUACAAUGGCCGUCAACAGAGGGAAGCAAAACCGCGAGGUAGAGCAAAUCCCUAAAAACGGUCUCAGUUCGGAUUGCAGGCUGCAACUCGCCUGCAUGAAGCUGGAAUUGCUAGUAAUCGCGGAUCAGC
rnacentral:rRNA from 1 species